rnacentral:rRNA from 1 species
UGUUGGGCUUUAUGAAAGUUUAGCAAAAAGACCGAAGCCGGCGAAGGGAGCUCUUCGGAGUGAACGAAGUCAGAAUGAGGGGGGCCGAGAAAAUCCCCACAGCUAUACCAUGUUACUGACCGUACUGUAAACCGACACAGGUAGGUGAGUCGAGGAGACUAAGGCGUUCGAGAGAACUCUCGUUAAGGAACUAGGCAAACGAGCCCCGUAAGUUCGCGAUAAGGGGCGCCCCGCAAGGGGCCGCAGCGAAGCAUCCCAGGCGACUGUUUACCAAAAACACAGGUCUCUGCUAAGACGAAAGUCGAAGUAUAGGGGCUGACGCCUGCCCAAUGCCAGUAGGUUAACAGGAGAUGUUAGGGGCAACCCGAAGCAUUGAAUCGAAGCCCUGGUGAAUGGCGGCCGUAACUCUAACGGUCCUAAGGUAGCGAAAUUCCUUGUCGGCUAAAUACCGACCCGCAUGAAAGGCGUAACGACUUGGGAACUGUCUCAACGAGAAGCUCGAUGAAACUGUAGUAUCCGUGAAGAUGCGGAUUAUGCGUAGUAGGACGGAAAGACCCCGUGGAGCUUCACUACACCUUAUGAUUGUAAGCUGGGUGUGGAUGUAGAGCGUAGGUGGGAGCUUCGGCACCAAUGGAACACCACCCUUUUACAUCUGGUUUACUAACCGGACCCCUUAUCGGGGUUCGAGACCAUCAUAGGCGGGUAGUUUGACUGGGGCGGUCGCCUCCGAAAGAGUAACGGAGGCGCCUAAAGUUGCACUCAGGCUGGUUUGAAAUCAGCCGUUGAGCGUAUAGGUAUACAGUGCGAUUGACUGCGAGACAGACAGGUCGAGCAGGGACGAAAGUCGAGCUAAGUGACCCUCUGAUUGUGCGUGGGCACGUCAGGGUUCAUCGGAUAUAAGCUACCCCGGGGAUAACAGGCUGAUCUUGCCCGAGCGCUCACAGCGACGGCAUGGUUUGGCACCUCGAUGUCGGCUCGUCGCAUCCUGGGGCUGUACACGGUCCCAAGGGUUCCGGAGUUCACGGAUUAAAGCGGCACGCGAGCUGGGUUCAGAACGGCGUGAGCCAGUUCGGUCCCUAUCCACUACGCACGGAGGAAAUUUGAGAGGAGUCGCUCUUAGUACGAGAGGACCGGAGUGAACCGACCUCUGGUGUACCAGUUGUUCCGCCAGGAGCAUACGCUGGGUAGCCACGUCGGGUAUUGAUAAGCGCUGAAAGCAUCUAAGCGCCAAGCAGACCUCAAGAUUAGAUUUCCCAUCAUAUGAGUAAGACCCCCGGAAGACUACCGGACGAUAGGUCGCAGGUGUAAGCGCAGUAAUGUGUUAAGCUAAGCGAUACUAAAUGGUCGAGGGCUAA